rnacentral:rRNA from 1 species
GACGAACGCUGGCGGCGUGCUUAACACAUGCAAGUCGAACGGUGAAGCGCCUUCCUUUUUGGUGGGUGUGGAUGAGUGGCGAACGGGUGAGUAACACGUGAGUAACCUGCCCCCUUCUUCUGGAUAACCGCAUGAAAGUGUGGCUAAUACGGGAUAUUCUGGGUCUGUCGCAUGAUGGGUCUGGGAAAGAUAUUGUUUCGGUGGGGGAUGGGCUCGCGGCCUAUCAGCUUGUUGGUGGGGUGAUGGCCUACCAAGGCGGUGACGGGUAGCCGGCCUGAGAGGGUGGGCGGUCACACUGGGACUGAGACACGGCCCAGACUCCUACGGGAGGCAGCAGUGGGGAAUAUUGCACAAUGGGUGCAAGCCUGAUGCAGCGACGCCGCGUGAGGGAUGGAGGCCUUCGGGUUGUGAACCUCUUUCGCCAGUGAAGCAGGCCUGCCUCGUUUGUGGGUGGGUUGACGGUAGCUGGAUAAGAAGCGCCGGCUAACUACGUG